rnacentral:rRNA from 1 species
GACGAACGCUGGCGGCGUGCUUAACACAUGCAAGUCGAACGUGAUUUUUGUGGAAAUUCUUUCGGGAAUGGAAAUGAAAUGAAAGUGGCGAACGGGUGAGUAACACGUGAGCAACCUACCUUACACAGGGGGAUAGCCGUUGGAAACGACGAUUAAUACCGUAUGAGACCACAGAAUCGCAUGAUAUAGGGGUCAAAGAUUUAUCGGUGUAAGAAGGGCUCGCGUCUGAUUAGCUAGUUGGAAGGGUAAAGGCCUACCAAGGCGACGAUCAGUAGCCGGUCUGAGAGGAUGAACGGCCACAUUGGAACUGAGACACGGUCCAAACUCCUACGGGAGGCAGCAGUGGGGAAUAUUGCACAAUGGGGGGAACCCUGAUGCAGCGACGCCGCGUGAGCGAAGAAGGUUUUCGAAUCGUAAAGCUCUGUCCUAUGAGAAGAUAAUGACGGUAUC